UACGUAGGGCGCAAGCGUUAUCCGGAAUUAUUGGGCGUAAAGAGCUCGUAGGCGGUUUGUCGCGUCUGCCGUGAAAGUCCGGGGCUCAACUCCGGAUCUGCGGUGGGUACGGGCAGACUAGAGUGUGGUAGGGGAGACUGGAAUUCCUGGUGUAGCGGUGAAAUGCGCAGAUAUCAGGAGGAACACCGAUGGCGAAGGCAGGUCUCUGGGCCACUACUGACGCUGAGAAGCGAAAGCAUGGGGAGCAAACAGG
rnacentral:rRNA from 1 species